rnacentral:rRNA from 1 species
GCUCGCACACUAAAAUCUUUUAAAUACUUUAUAAUAAAAACAAAUAAACAAAUAAUAGUUAAUAAUGAAGUACAGAAAUGGAAAGCCUAAUUAAUAAAAGUAAUUAUUAACAACUGUACCUUGUGCAUUAUGGUUUUACAAGCUAAUAAUUAAAAAUACCAAUCCCGAAUUCUACAUGAGAUGUUAAACUGCUGUUAUGAACUCAUUAAUGGCUGUAGAAGAAGCUUUAAAAGACAGUUUAACAGAGGCUACAUACCAUCCGCAUAAGAAUAUAGCUGGUUUUCAACAAACAUUAUACAUUAAAACAUAUAAUAAUUUAUACUGUAAAAUUACUGAGGAUAAGCCCAGUAAUUAUAAGCAAUACUAUACUGACCCAGAAAUUUCCUAUAGGCCUAAAAUCAGCCAACCAAAAUACUUUACCGUAAUAUACAAAGAUAUAAUACAUAUAAGUAUAUGCGAAAAUAAGUUGAAAUAAUGAAUAAACUAAUAAACUCAUAUAUAUUAUGUAAAAAUAAGUAUUAUAAAAAUACAACAACAACAACCUAGUACUAUCAACAAAUAAAACAAAAAAAUAAUUAAUUAAAGGAACUCGGCAAACCAUUAUUUCGACUGUUUAACAAAAACAUUGUCCCAUGAAAGAAAAUAUGGGAUAAUACCUGCCCAGUGACAAAGUUCAACGGCCGCGGUAUCCUAACCGUGCAAAGGUAGCAUAAUCACUUGCCUAUUAAUUGUAGGCUAGAAUGAAAGGGUUAACGAAAUAAAGACUGUCUCAAUUAAUUACCUAAAAAUUAUUUUCUACUUGAAGAAAAGUAGAUACUCUCGAAGGACAAGAAGACCCUAUAGAGCUUAAUAUUAACUAUAGACAUAUACUUUAGUAAAUAUUCGGUUGGGGCGACCCAGGGCUAAACAAUCACCCACCACAUAAAAGAUAAAUUAAUCAAUUAAGUGACCCUUAAAAGAUCAUUAGAAUAAGCUACCUUAGGGAUAACAGGCUAAUCCCACUCAAGAGUCCUUAUCAACAGUGGGGCUUGGCACCUCGAUGUUGGCUUAGGGUAUCUAUAUAGCGCAAAAGUUAUAUAAAGAUGGUUUGUUCAACCAAUAAUUCCCUACAUGAGCUGAGUUCAGACCGGCGCAAGCCAGGUUAGCUUCUAUCCGCGACCACCACACCUACCUCUAGUACGAAAGGACCUAGGCAGGAUAAUAUUUAUAUAAAAGAAUUCAUAUAACUAAUAAUAAACUCCACCACACCUAUAAACUAUA